AUGCAUAAGCUCGUAAAUGUUCAUUAUUUGGACAAGACGACAUUUAUGCUUGGAAAUGACGAUGAAGGGGAAGAGGCUAUGGUUUUUGACACAUGUCCAAGCUUUGAUGAUCUUGUAGUUAAAAUGAGAAGCGUGUUACAUUGGAAUGACCCAAAUGCCGAGGUUAAGCUUAUUGGGAGGUAUGAUGUUGGAUUGGGAGUAAAGUCUCGAUUAAAGAGUAUGACCAUCACCUCCCAAUUGCAUUGGAAUAUGUACAAGAAAAAAGUAGAUGCAUCACAAGACAAGUCCCUUGAGAUCUUUGCCACAAAGGUUGAUCCUCCUCCUCCGUUGCAAAUUGAUCUCAAUCGCAAUGCAUCCUCCCCAAUACAUGAUGAUAGUGCCGAGGUGUAUAUCCCCAAUUGUUCUAGCAAACCACCAAGUAGCCAACCCAAUAAAGAUCAUAUCAAUGCUAGCGCCAUAGUACUCCAUCAUGAUGCUAUUCCUCAAGUUGAAGAAGAUGCUAGUGGCGAUGUUGAUGAUGAUGCUAUUGUUGCUCAAGAGGAUGCUUACGCGGAGAAUGAAGAGAUCCAUUACAAUCCAAUUGGUAACUUGGAUGUCAUUGUGCGGCAACAAGACAUGGACCGUACCCUCCCUUACAACCGUAUGUGUGGGUAUAACUCGGAUGACGAGGGCCCGGAGGAAGAAUUGGAUGAGGAUGGGUUGACUGCGCAAGAAAAUGAAAUCUACAAGAAGGUGACUGAUAACCCACACGUAUAG
rnacentral:rRNA from 1 species